UGCCUGUCAUCUUGGCGGAUGAUUCUUCUGCCUUCUUCAAGACAUGCUCUGAUGUAACUGACAAGGACUCGUACAGUGACACUCCAGUGGGAAUUCUCUGCCUUGGUCAAGAAAAUACCCAGCUCAACCCAUCCAGAGUAGGGAUCAUCUUGGAAGGGUCUGUGGUAAUGGAUGAACUGGCCAACCUGCCUCAGGCCUUCUGUGUCCUUUUCGGACUGAUCUAUGCCCUGCACCUGGACUACCCCAAGUGCAUGAAAAACACUUUCAACUUUAUUCAGCAAGUAAUGCUCAAACUGGGUAGAAGUGAGCUGGUACCCAAAAUUCAAACUUUGAAAAAUCAGCUGGAAGCAUAAAACGGGGUUAGAAAUGUCUCUACUACUGUUCCAGGUUUGUUUGGCCCAGUUUGUAACGUUGUACUUUUAUGAAAACAUGUUUACUGUUGUGUACGGUUUGGGGUACAUGUGUCCUAUGGUAAUGGCCCUGAUUUUUGCACAAGAUUCCAUGACAGGCUUUGAUAAAAUUUUAUUUCAAAUGAGUUGGGUAUUUUAGUUACAUUACCAACUAAAAGGCAGAUGUCUUGGUGCAUUUUGGAUUUUCAAGAUAUUUUAGUCAUGUUUAGUAGGGCUGUGCUCGAUUGAAGAAAUACUUAGUCGACUAACAGUCAUUCAGUUGUAUCGAUUAGUUGAAUUAAUCGGCAGAUCUGUAAAUCUGAGUUUCUCUGCAAAGAGUCAUGCAAAAGCACCACUUUAAUUCUUGUGUUUAUCAGAGAUGUGCUUGUAUGUUUCGUGGAAAUAAGUCAUUCAGCAUGAAAAAAGCAUCAAACAUGACUAAUGGACUAAAGAAAUCUAAAUUGACUAAGACCAAAACGACCGAUUAAUCAACUAAAAGGGAGCAGCCCUAAUGUUUAGUCCUAUAAAUGGGAAUGUUAAAAAAAAAAGUUAAAAUUUUCCCCUAACAGGAGUGUAGGCUAUAAUACAGUUUUAAUGUGAUUUGUGUGAUAAUAAUAAUGUGAUAAUGAUGUACACAUGCUUGAGCAUGUAAGUGUUUUGUUAGAAUAGAGGCAUGAUGGUGCUAGACUUAAUGUUUUAUGCAGUGUUCAGGGCAUGAAUGACACACAUUUUGCCACUGUUUCAGGCUUAUGAUUCAAGGUUGUUAAAGCAGGGGACAACAACCUGUAAUUUAAUUCUGUUUUCAAAUAAAACAGUAAAAAAUUGA